AUUGAACGCUGGCGGCAGGCCUAACACAUGCAAGUCGAACGAGUGGCGGACGGGUGAGUAAUGUCUGGGAAACUGCCUGAUGGAGGGGGAUAACUACUGGAAACGGUAGCUAAUACCGCAUACCAUCGGAUGUGCCCAGGUGGGAUUAGCUAGUAGGUGGGGUAAAGGCUAACCUAGGCGACGAUCCCUAGCUGGUCUGAGAGGAUGACCAGCUGCACUGGAACUGUGACACGGUCCAGACUUCUACGAGAGGGAGCAGUGGGGUAUAUUGCAUACUGGGCGAAAGCCUGAUGCAGCCAUGCCGCGUGUAUGAAGAAGGCCUUCGGGUUGUAAAGUACUUUAAGCGGGGAGGCGUUACCCGCAGAAGAAGCACCGGCUAACUCCGUGCCAGCAGCCGCGGUAAUUC
rnacentral:rRNA from 1 species